AAGGCGGUCUCCAGUAUAUAAGGAAUCCAAGUGGUUUAAAAAGGAUGUAAGCAGUAGGUAGCCUCCUUAACGCGUUUCUCCGUGUAUAAGGUGAUACGGUUUCAUGAUGAAACCGUAUCACCUUAUACACUGAGAAAAGCUGGCUUAUAUACUGGAGACCGCCUUCACAUCUUCUUACAGUGACCCGGAGCAGCGCCUGGUUCCCCCUCCCCGAGGACAUCAAGAUACUGCCGCGCUACAUAUGCGCACCACCGGACAACAUUACAUCAGCCGGCCUCGCAGCAGCGGCAACGGUGAGAGAUCAGCUGGCGGUGGGGAGGGACACCUGGAGAGCGCUGGGUCCUCAGAUUUAAUAACAUUACCUGAGGCAGUUGGCGGCUUCUCCAUUGGAUGCACGGUCGCUACGUGCACUUAAACAUUCUAGUUUACACCAUCAGCAGUCCCCUAGGAGUUACAAAAAUAGCACUAUACUGUGCUUAAUUAUUCCAUGCUUGGAGCUCCAGGACAGUCAUUUGUGGACUCAUUCAUUGCACUGUGCAGAUGUGGGAAGGGUCCUAGUGCUUUCAGCAGAAUUCUGUUUAUUCCUCGGGGUGGAGGCUCGCAGGUUCUUUGUGGGGAUGAUUCCUUAGUGAAUAGACGGGACGCGCCGGGCGGUUUGUUGAUCGGUUGUCCGGCAACAGUGAUGUCAUCUUCUGCAGCCGGAAGUUAGUGCCGCCGGAGACGUCCCGCGCGCCACGCCCUCCUGGUCCACUUGGUGUGCAUGUGUAAAGUAUUUAAAGCCAAAACUCUGGAGUAAAAAGUCUACAUUUUCGGCACAUCUCUGAUCAAAACGCCCAAAACCUGGAUCUCCUAUAUGGUAAUUAAGGUACGAUUACGGUUUUCUGUCCACAGUUUGAUGUGAUUUAGUGGAAAGCUGCUGUUUUCAAUAUAAUUGAUAUCCCAUGUGGUGAAAUCGAGUUCGAUAUCACUUUUUAAGUGUUUUUAUUUGCCUUUUGAAGACACGCUAAGUUGCUUGUUCAUACUGUGAUUUUUUGAGUAUAAAUAAAAUACCCCUGAUGAAGUCUGUAGGACGAAACGCGUUGGGUUAAGACAGCGAUUUUGUCAUUUCUUCAAGGAGGAUUAAUCAUCAUGUCGAUAUGUGACUGAAAUGAAUUGUUACCAACAUCAAUAUCUGUAUGAAACAUUGACUGUCAUUUUGGACAUACUGUGAUACAGCUCAUUUUU